rnacentral:rRNA from 1 species
CUACGGGAGGCUCCAGUGAGGAAUAUUGGACAAUGGUCGAAAGACUGAUCCAGCCAUGCCGCGUGCAGGAUGAAUGCCCUAUGGGUUGUAAACUGCUUUUAUACGGGAAGAACACCACCCACGUGUGGGUGACUGACGGUACCGUAAGAAUAAGGACCGGCUAACUCCGUGCCAGCAGCCGCGGUAAUACGGAGGGUCCAAGCGUUAUCCGGAAUCAUUGGGUUUAAAGGGUCCGUAGGCGGGCUAUUAAGUCAGAGGUGAAAGUUUGCAGCUCAACUGUAAAAUUGCCUUUGAUACUGGUAGUCUUGAGUUAUAGUGAAGUGGUUAGAAUAUGUGGUGUAGCGGUGAAAUGCAUAGAUAUCACAUAGAAUACCAAUUGCGAAGGCAGCUCACUAACUAUAUACUGACGCUGAUGGACGAAAGCGUGGGGAGCGAACGGGAUUAGAUACCCCAGUAGUC